rnacentral:rRNA from 1 species
CUACGGGUGGCACCAGUAAGGAAUAUUGCGCAAUGGAGGCAACUCUGACGCAGCCAUGCCGCGUGCAGGAAGAAGGCCUUAUGGGUCGUAAACUGCUUUUAUUUAGGAAUAAACCCCCGAACGUGUUCGGGGCUGAAGGUACUAAACGAAUAAGCACCGGCUAACUCCGUGCCAGCAGCCGCGGUAAUACGGAGGGUGCAAGCGUUAUCCGGAUUUAUUGGGGUUAAGGGGUGCGCAGGCGGGCUAUUAAGUCAGUGGUGAAAUCCCGGGGCUCAACUCCGGAACUGCCAUUGAUACUGAUAGUCUUGAGUUUGGUUGAAGUGGGAGGAAUGUAGCAUGAAGCGGUGAAAUGCAUAGAUAUGCUACAGAACACCAAUCGCGAAGGCAGCUCACUAAGCCAAAACUGACGCUCAUGCACGAAAGCGUGGGGAUCAAACAGGAUUAGAUACCCGUGUAGUC